rnacentral:rRNA from 1 species
CAGUAGCCGCGGGAAAACGGAGGGGGCUAGCGUUGUUCGGAAUUACUGGGCGUAAAGCGCACGUAGGCGGCUUGGUAAGUUAGAGGUGAAAGCCUGGAGCUCAACUCCAGAAUCGCCUUUAAGACUGCCGAGCUAGCAGGUGAGAGAGGUAAGUGGAAUUCCGAGUGUAGAGGUGAAAUUCGUAGAUAUUCGGAAGAACACCAGUGGCGAAGGCGGCUUACUGGCUCAUACUGGACGCUGAGGUGCGAAAGCGUGGGGAGCAAACAGGAUUAGAUACCCCCGUAGUCCCUGUCUCUUAUAC